rnacentral:rRNA from 1 species
GACGAACGCUGGCGGCGUGCUUAACACAUGCAAGUCGAACGGAAAGGCCCUGCUUUUGUGGGGUGCUCGAGUGGCGAACGGGUGAGUAACAGGUGAGUAACCUGCUCUUGACUUUGGGAUGACUUCAGGAAACUGGGGCUAAUACCGUAUAGCAGCUCCUGUUGCAGGGUGGGGGUUGGAACGUCUCGGCGGUUGGGGAUGGAUUCGCGGCUAAUCAGCUUGUUGGUGGGGUAGUGGCUUACCAAGGCUUUGGCGGGUACCCGGCAUGAGAGGGUGACCGGCCACAUUGGGACUGAGGUACGGACCAGACUCCUACGGGAGGCAGCAGUGGGGAGUAUUGCACAAUGGGCGGGAGCCUGUGGCAGCAACGCCGCGUGCGGGAUGACGGCCUUCGGGUUGUAAACCGCUUUCGCCUGUGACGAAGCGUGAGUGACGGUAAUGGGUAAAGAAGCACCGGCUAACUACGUG